GUGGGGAAUAUUGGACAAUGGGCGCAAGCCUGAUCCAGCCAUGCCGCGUGAGUGAUGAAGGCCUUAGGGUUGUAAAGCUCUUUCAGUGGGGACGAUAAUGACGGUACCCACAGAAGAAGCCCCGGCUAACUUCGUGCCAGCAGCCGCGGUAAUACGAAGGGGGCUAGCGUUGUUCGGAUUUACUGGGCGUAAAGCGCACGUAGGCGGAUCGUUAAGUCGGGGGUGAAAUCCUGGAGCUCAACUCCAGAACUGCCUUCGAUACUGGCGAUCUUGAGUCCGGAAGAGGUGAGUGGAACUCCUAGUGUAGAGGUGGAAUUCGUAGAUAUUAGGAAGAACACCAGUGGCGAAGGCGGCUUACUGGUCCGGAACUGACGCUGAGGUGCGAAAGCGUGGGGAGCAAACAGGAUUAGAAACCCCAGUAGUCC
rnacentral:rRNA from 1 species